ACCCUACCGUGGUUUAGUUGCCUAGCAAGUAGCGUUGGGCACUCUAGCCAGACUGCCGGUGAUAAAUCGGAGGAAGGUGGGGACGACGUCAAAUCAUCAUGCCCUUUAUGUCCUGGGCUACACACGUACUACAAUGGCCGUUACAACGGGAAGCGAAGGAGCAAUCCGGAGCAAAUCCCUUAAAGGCGGUCCCAGUUCAGAUUGUGGGCUGAAACUCGCCCACAUGAAGGCGGAAUUGCUAGUAAUUGCAGAUCAGCAUGCUGCAGUGAAUACGUUCCCGGGCCUU
rnacentral:rRNA from 1 species